rnacentral:rRNA from 1 species
AUUGAACGCUGGCGGCAGGCCUAACACAUGCAAGUCGAGCGGAGCGGCGGACGGGUGAGUAAUGCCUAGGAAUCUGCCUGGUAGUGGGGGAUAACGUCCGGAAACGGGCGCCAAUACCGCAUCCUAUCAGAUGAGCCUAGGUCGGAUUAGCUAGUUGGUGGGGUAAAGGCCUACAAAGGUGACGGUCCGUAACUGGUCUGAGAGGAUGAUCAGUCACACUGGACCUGAGACAGGGUCCAGACUCCUACGGGAGGCAGCAGUGGGGAAUAUUGGACAAUGGGCGAAAGCCUGAUCCAGCCAUGCCGCGUGUGUGAAGAAGGUCUUCGGAUUUGAAAGCACUUUAAGUUGGGAGGCGUUACCAGCAGAAUAAGCACCGGCUAACUACGUGCCAGCAGCCGCGGUAAUAC